UACAGAGGUCUCAAGCGUUGUUCGGAUUCAUUGGGCGUAAAGGGUGCGUAGGCGGCGCGGUAAGUCGGGUGUGAAAUCUCGGGGCUUAACUCCGAAACUGCAUUCGAUACUGCCGUGCUUGAGGACUGGAGAGGAGACUGGAAUUUACGGUGUAGCGGUGAAAUGCGUAGAUAUCUGGAGGAACACCGGUGGCGAAGGCGGCAUCCUGGACCGACACUGACACUGAGGAGCGAAAGCCAGGGGAGCAAACGGG
rnacentral:rRNA from 1 species